AGAGGAAGAAGAGGAACAGGAAGAAGAAAAAGCGGUAUCACAGCUUUGCCUUCGAUGUUCCUCUCCUUUCUCUGACUCGCUGUGUUUUUUUCCUUUUUUAUUGUCUUU
rnacentral:ribozyme from 13 species